CUGUUUUCAGGAUUAGUUUAGGCAUUAUAGGUUGUAGGAAGCCCUUCUGGCAUUUGUUGUUGAUUAUAGUUUAUAGGAAGCCCUUCUGGCGUUUGUUAGUGUUAGGUAAAGUUUUGGGAAGCCCGUCUGGCUCUUGGCAACUUUGAGAAUUCUUUUUAUUUUAUUGUUUAUUAUCAACCACUGCAGAAAUUUUAAUUUUAAUUAAACGUUUGACAUUGA